CAGCACCUCAAGUGGUCAGGAUGAUUAUUGGGCCUAAAGCAUCCGUAGCCGGCGCUGUAAGUUUUCGGUUAAAUCUGUACGCUCAACGUACAGGCUGCCGGGAAUACUGCAGCGCUAGGGAGUGGGAGAGGUGGACGGUACUCGGUAGGAAGGGGUAAAAUCCUUUGAUCUAUUGAUGGCCACCUGUGGCGAAGGCGGUCUACCAGAACACGUCCGACGGUGAGGGAUGAAAGCUGGGGGAGCAAACCGGAUUAGAUACCCGAGUAGUCC
rnacentral:rRNA from 1 species